rnacentral:tRNA from 1 species
UCGGAUGUAGCUCAAUGGUAGAGCAUGCGGCUGUUAACCUCACGGUUGCUGGUUCGAGUCCAGCCAUCCGAGCCA